AUGAACGCUAGCGACAGGCCUAACACAUGCAAGUCGAGGGGCAGCACAAGGAGCAAUCUGAGGUGGCGACCGGCGCACGGGUGAGUAACACGUAUGCAACCUGCCUGUAAGCGGGGAAUAACCCGUUGAAAGACGGACUAAUACCGCAUAAUACUAAAUUACUGCAUGGUAAUUUAUUUAAACAUUUAUGGCUUACAGAUGGGCAUGCGCAUGAUUAGCUAGUUGGAGAGGUAACGGCUCCCCAAGGCAACGAUCAUUAGGGGUUCUGAGAGGAAGGUCCCCCCACACUGGUACUGAGACACGGACCAGACUCCUACGGGAGGCAGCAGUGAGGAAUAUUGGUCAAUGGACGAGAGUCUGGACCAGCCAAGUCGCGUGCAGGAAGAAUUGUCCUAUGGAUUGUAAACUGCUUUUGCAGGGGAAUAAAGUGCAUCACGUGUGAUGUUUUGUAUGUACUCUGCGAAUAAGGAUCGGCUAACUCCGUGCCAGCCGCGGC
rnacentral:rRNA from 1 species